UCCCCUGUGGCUCAGUUGGUAGAGCAUGGUGUUUGCAACGCCAGGGUUGUGGGUUCGAUUCCCACGAGGGAC
rnacentral:tRNA from 1 species